rnacentral:rRNA from 1 species
AUUGAACGCUGGCGGCAGGCCUAACACAUGCAAGUCGAGCGGUAGAGAGGUGCUUGCACCUCUUGAGAGCGGCGGACGGGUGAGUAAUGCCUAGGAAUCUGCCUAGUGGUGGGGGAUAACGUUCGGAAACGGACGCUAAUACCGCAUACGUCCUACGGGAGAAAGCGGGGGAUCUUCGGACCUCGCGCCAUUAGAUGAGCCUAGGUCGGAUUAGCUAGUUGGUGAGGUAAUGGCUCACCAAGGCGACGAUCCGUAACUGGUCUGAGAGGAUGAUCAGUAACACUGGAACUGAGACACGGUCCAGACUCCUACGGGAGGCAGCAGUGGGGAAUAUUGGACAAUGGGCGAAAGCCUGAUCCAGCCAUGCCGCGUGUGUGAAGAAGGUCUUCGGAUUGUAAAGCACUUUAAGUUGGGAGGAAGGGUCGUAACCUAAUACGUUACGGCUUUGACGUUACCGACAGAAUAAGCACCGGCUAACUUCGUGCCAGCCGCCGCCGUAACAC